rnacentral:rRNA from 1 species
ACCCCUGUGACAUACCACUUGUUGCCUCGGCGGAUCAGCCCGCUCCCGGUAAAACGGGACGGCCCGCCAGAGGACCCCUAAACUCUGUUUCUAUAUGUAACUUCUGAGUAAAACCAUAAAUAAAUCAAAACUUUCAACAACGGAUCUCUUGGUUCUGGCAUCGAUGAAGAACGCAGCAAAAUGCGAUAAGUAAUGUGAAUUGCAGAAUUCAGUGAAUCAUCGAAUCUUUGAACGCACAUUGCGCCCGCCAGUAUUCUGGCGGGCAUGCCUGUUCGAGCGUCAUUUCAACCCUCAAGCACAGCUUGGUGUUGGGACUCGCGUUAAUUCGCGUUCCUCAAAUUGAUUGGCGGUCACGUCGAGCUUCCAUAGCGUAGUAGUAAAACCCUCGUUACUGGUAAUCGUCGCGGCCACGCCGUUAAACCCCAACUUCUGAAUGUUGACCUCGGAUCAGGUAGGAAUACCCGCUGAACUUAAGCAU